UUGAAAUGCACUGGGCCUCACUCAGGGAUCAGCAAUGGCUUUUGUCUCUGGCCUGGACUGCAGGGAUCUGGCUGUGCCUAGAUGUGAAGAGGCAAUGCACAGUAAGGAAGAAGGCACAUGUGCGGGCGUGCAAGCUUGGGCAGGUGCACAUGGAGCCAGCAAGGAUUCUCCAGGGAGCCACCAUCACCCUGAUAUCCAGCGGGAGCUGGUCUGAGCUACGUUACUCCCAAGCCCUGCUAGCUGGCUCCCCAGGAAAGCAAGAACUCACACAAAUGACUCUUGGGCGUUUGUGGAAGAGCUGAGUCCUCAUCACUUCCUGUGGGCCUUUCUGAGCAUAAUAAGAUCCUCUCUCUUGCAUCAGCCAACCCAGGAGCUGCUGAUAAACCAUGGCACAAGCUUGAGCCAGAGUUGACCUUAACCAUUGACAGCCCACUGAGCACUCAUCAUGUGCUAAGCAUUAUCUCAUUAAACCUUCACCACAAUCCUGCAAGGCAAUUCUGAAUGUAGUCAUUGGUGACGGAAGAAAAUAUUUGUCUCUGAAAGCCAUCCGUGGAGAUCAUAAAAUCAUUCCUACAUCUUGCCUUGAGCUAGCAGAAUGAAAUUGCCCAGAGUGGGAAAAGUCAAAAUGUUCUUUUUGAGAGCUUGGCUUUCCUGUGGGUGAUUUUCCAAGGUGGGUACUUCAUUGACCAACAUUUGAGUGUGACAACAGCAUCCAGCACGGACGGUUCAGUUCCUCACCUCAGGCCAAGGGGCUCCUGUUCUCUUACUUCUGGAAGGUGGGGUCUAGUUCACCCCUGCAGCCUGCUGAAGCUGUGUGCUCCAAGGGCCAGGAAUGGAUGGAGCAGGUGCAGAUGGGAUGGGUGAUGCAGCGAUAGCAGCCGCGGCACUGAGAUCGUGUCACACGAUUUUUAAGUAAAUGAGCAGCAGCCAGUCGUGGUGACGACUUGGGUAGCCACAGGCAUGGUGAGCACACCAGAAAGGGGACGGACUUGAAGAAAGUAGACCCCAGGGGCAAUGGGCUCAGGUAGUGUGAUGGGUGACAGGGACAGUCACAAUGUCCAAACUGUCUUUAAUUUAAAAUCCUUGCUUCCUAAGGAACUCUUGUUAGAGGAGCUUGGAUCAGCACAGCCAAGGUCAGCGCUAUCCACCUGUCUUCUGGCUGCUGAUGUCACAGUCAUAGUGAUUGAUCCUAAGGAGAAAAGGGAAGUGACUCCUGGUGGCAGCCUCCUGCUUUGAUAUCAUUAAUAAGCCACCAAAGAGUGGGGACACAAUUUGGAAAUGAAAGGGCCAGUUUUGCAGGUUGGACGUACCAGAUGCUGGCAGUGGCCUAGGGUGUUGUUUCCUUCUCAAUUUCUUGAGCUAUGGUGUGGAAAUUGAAAUAGGCAGUGCCUUCAGGUUGUUCUGAUAAAUAUAAAGCAUUUAUAUAGCAUAGUGUUUACCGUAGUGCCUACAAACAACAGCAAAGUUUAUAUAGUUCUAAUAUAGGUAUGCUGCAGUAAGCACUGUUGUUUAUACGUUUGAGACCGCUGUUGGCCAUAGAUGUCAUAUUAAAUAGACAUCAUUUUCUUUAAUUUAUACGUAAAUAACUGUGGACUCAAAGAGGCCCAGGAACUCACAUAGGACAAGUAACAUCCCAUGGGAAGGAAGUGCAUAGAAAGAGCCACACAUGCAAGAGUUAUAAAGGCAGUGUCUGCCCCAGCUUGUUACUGAUCAGAGUCGGUGACGCCCACCGGAGAACAAGUGCCUAGAAGCACAGGCCUCUCAGAGAAGGCUGCUCUUUCAGGCCUAGUUUCUAGGCCCAAGCCUGUUUGUCUAAUUCUGCCAAAGAAAGAGACUUGCUCAUUCCAGAGUUAUAGAGUUGGAGGGAAAGUACAGACAGUUUCUUCUCCCAGCUUCCCCUCCAUUUCAUUUUCUUUGCUCAGGGUUCUUGGGGUUAUUCUUAGAAGUGGUAAGGGGGUGUAGACAGCCAUAACCUUCACCUCCUGUUUCCCUUUUAUAGCCCCCAUUUCUCCAGGAGUGUCUCCUCCUGUGGGCAGGUACAGACAUCAUGCCUGGUACCAGGUUAAAGCUCUGCACACACAUUGUCUCUUUUAUUCUGCAUCCAAGCUUCAAAGGUUGGGAUCAUCAUCUGUGCACUGCAGGUAGCAUGCUCUUCCAGAGAUGCAGGCUGGAGCGGGUCCCCCGGACAGUUUCUACCCAUGGCAGCAUCAGCACUGAAGUUACACCUUUGACUCAGCCAACAUCUCAGAGCUCACGUUUCCCAAGCAGCCUUGGGUCCACACAGCGACUCCCCUUGACGCUUGCAGGCCUCAGAACUCGCUGAGCUCAGUUCUCCUGAUUGGUCUUCAAGACAGUACAAGGAGGCUCCCUGGUGUGUAUGGUAGGCUUUCAGGUGCUUACCGACCCCAGCACUUGACCAGAAGAAGCCUCAGUCCCUUUCCUAGCAUGACCCCUUUGUCCUUCAAGAUCAUUUGCCUCUAUUUACACUAAAUAGAGGCAGCUCCAUUUUUGAGUUCCUGUAUUUUGGGCAAGCCAAGCUGGAGGUCCCCACAGCCGGUCCAAGCAGGCCUCAGCUGUCCUGGAGAUGGUCACGUGGAAGGCGCUCCCAAGCCCGCUCCUCUGACAAAGUUUAGCAAACAGCUUAUCUCCCAGAAAACACGUGAGGUACCUGGGCAGCUCCAACACGCGCUGUGAAGCACAGUCAUGGUGAAUGGAUGAAGCCCAGAUUUUGAUGUCUGAGAGCCACACCGGGGCUGCCCCAAUGACUUCUAUCCAAAACUGAUGACCACAGACUCCCUUGGUGGUGCCAGAGGAGAGGUAUUUUCUUUCCUGCUCUUUGUGAGUGUGACAGAUUUUAAAUAUGCCUUUUCUGUGAAUGUAAGCGAUGUCAUCCUGUCAUUGUGAAGAUCUAAUGAUGCCUUGUGCUAAAGGUUGAGCAAAGCCCAUCUCCAGUGUGGGUCAUAUGAUAAAUGUCAUGUUAAAGGAAUCUACCUCCAUCCACUGACAAGCCAUCCUGCCACGUGCUAGACAUCGGUGUGAAGGAGAAGAACACAGAGACCAUUCCUGAACAAGGAAGGUGUGCAGGAGAAUGGAACAGGGGCCAAGACUGUACUUCAGAGAGAUGGGAGGCCAGGAGAUUCAUUCCCCAUAUUUCACGUGCGUGGCCUUUGGAAGCUAUGUGACUCAUCUUCAGUGAUGAUGUGACUUCCCUGAACCCAUGCUCAACAGCUGUGAACACAGAAAGCAUGCUCGCCCACCCCUUGCCAGGUUAUGCUUUUGGCCAGAGAAGCCUGCCCAUGUCUGACGCCCUUAGGAAUCACUGAUGCCUUCUGGAGAUGCACUGCCGUUCCUGACCAGCAGGGAGGCUGUAUGGUUGGUGAGGACAGCAAAUCCUUUCAGCCUUAGCAACUUGGACUUUCUUGUUUGUGGAAUGGAGACAAUACUAUCCUCUCAGGGUUAUAAAAUGAACCCAGGCGUGUGAGGGUCUAUGUCUUCUGUCCCCCUUUCUCUCUAAACCUUCAGUUUCUUUCUCUGUCAGGUAAUGGCUGAACUACAGUUCUCUAAGAUGUCUUCUCUCUUGGUCCUUACUGGGACUGGAAAGGCACCUAAAGUUUUCCAGCACAGGAAAACUUGAGGCAUUAUGACCAGACCUGGUGGCAGCUAGAACAGUUUACUAGACCCUUGGAUUCCAAGAACAGAGGCAUUCACUCUGCAGUAUGCUCAAAGACAGAGCGGGAAGUGUUGUCAGAAACAGGCAACAAAGCUAUUCCCAAUUCAUUACCUCCAGGGUUCAGGGUUCCCAGCAGGAGAAUGUAUCUCUAGAAGCAGUCUGUGGAGGCAAUGUCUUCUUCACUGAGCUCUUCAAAUAGCAUCAUGUGUGCUCUUUUACUGCAUUGCUCCCAUUGUUUGAAGUCAGUGGUGUUCACUGAUUAAGAACUGUUAUUUUUUACAACUCACAGACACGUGUACCCAGAUGCUUUCUUGACCACAAGCCCCAAAUUGCCUGGUUAUGCAACCCCAGAAUCUAUGCUAGUCUGAGAAAGGACUGUGACUCAGGGUCCAUUUUACACUGGCAUCUGGGAGCCCAGGAGGCCUCUGUGGAUCACGGCUCCCCACUUCAUAGUCUAAUCAGAAGUGCCUUGUCCGCUGUGUAUUGACUGCAGUUUCCUGAUGCUAAGUCAGUGCUGUUGGCAGUGACUUGAAGAAGCUGUCAUGCAAAUCAAAUGGUGACAAAGAAGAAUGAAGAACGGAUGAAAACAGAUAGGAUAAAGGUGUGGUGGUGACAGCGGCAGGCACACUGAACUCACAGGGGGGAAGGACAUGGUGGUGGGUGAUGCUCAGGGAGCUGCUGUCAGCAUAGCUCUCCUCCUCAUGGGUGUGUGGUUUGGGAGAUUAAGGUUCAGUUUUCCUAUUUGUAAAAAAUGAAGGCACUGCGAGGGUCUCCAUCACCAAGUUAGUAAGUUACUUACUUUGCUUGUUGGUUGGUUUUGUUUUCCAGAGUAGGGUUUCUCUGUAUAGUCCUGACUGUCUUGAGACUAGGUCUGCAGACCAGGCUGGCUUCAAACUCAGAGCAGUUUGAGCUGCCUCUGCCUCUGCCUCUGCCUCUGCCUCUGCCUCUGCCUCUGCCUCUGCCUCUGCCUCUGCCUCUG
rnacentral:lncRNA from 1 species